GAACGCUGAAGCCUGGUGCUUGCACCGGGUGGAUGAGUGGCGAACGGGUGAGUAACACGUGAGUAACCUGCCCCUGACUUCGGGAUAAGCCCGGGAAACUGGGUCUAAUACCGGAUACGACUGCCGGACGCAUGUCUGGUGGUGGAAAGUUUUUUCGGUUGGGGAUGGGCUCGCGGCCUAUCAGUUUGUUGGUGAGGUAAUGGCUCACCAAGACGACGACGGGUAGCCGGCCUGAGAGGGCGACCGGCCACACUGGGACUGAGACACGGCCCAGACUCCUACGGGAGGCAGCAGUGGGGAAUAUUGCACAAUGGGGGAAACCCUGAUGCAGCGACGCAGCGUGCGGGAUGACGGCCUUCGGGUUGUAAACCGCUUUCAGCAGGGAAGAAGCGCAAGUGACGGUACCUGCAGAAGAAGUACCGGCUAACUACGUGCCAGCAGCCGCGGUAAUACGUAGGGUACGAGCGUUGUCCGGAAUUAUUGGGCGUAAAGAGCUCGUAGGUGGUUGGUCACGUCUGCUGUGGAAACGCAACGCUUAACGUUGCGCGUGCAGUGGGUACGGGCUGACUAGAGUGCAGUAGGGGAGUCUGGAAUUCCUGGUGUAGCGGUGAAAUGCGCAGAUAUCAGGAGGAACACCGGUGGCGAAGGCGGGACUCUGGGCUGUAACUGACACUGAGGAGCGAAAGCAUGGGGAGCGAACAGGAUUAGAUACCCUGGUAGUCCAUGCCGUAAACGUUGGGCACUAGGUGUGGGGGGCAUUCCACGUUCUCCGCGCCGUAGCUAACGCAUUAAGUGCCCCGCCUGGGGAGUACGGUCGCAAGGCUAAAACUCAAAGGAAUUGACGGGGGCCCGCACAAGCGGCGGAGCAUGCGGAUUAAUUCGAUGCAACGCGAAGAACCUUACCAAGGCUUGACAUACACCGGACCGUCCUGGAAACAGGUCCUCUUCUUUGAAGCUGGUGUACAGGUGGUGCAUGGUUGUCGUCAGCUCGUGUCGUGAGAUGUUGGGUUAAGUCCCGCAACGAGCGCAACCCUCGUUCUAUGUUGCCAGCACGUGAUGGUGGGAACUCAUAGGAGACUGCCGGGGUCAACUCGGAGGAAGGUGGGGAUGACGUCAAAUCAUCAUGCCCUUUAUGUCUUGGGCUUCACGCAUGCUACAAUGGCUGGUACAGAGAGAGGCGAACCCGUGAGGGCAAGCGAAUCCCUUAAAGCCAGUCUCAGUUCGGAUCGUAGUCUGCAAUUCGACUACGUGAAGUCGGAGUCGCUAGUAAUCGCAGAUCAGCAACGCUGCGGUGAAUACGUUCCCGGGCCUUGUACACACCGCCCGUCAAGUCACGAAAGUCGGUAACACCCGAAGCCGGUGGCCUAACCGUAAGGAGGGGGCCGUCUAAGGUGG
rnacentral:rRNA from 1 species